CAGACCUUUGCUUUUCACAUUAUUUUCUCCAAACCCUGAAGAAAAUAUACAAUAGAAAACCUUCCCUCCUUUAAAUCCCAUCCCUUCUUGAUUCUCUUCGCUUCCCUCCAACCGAAACAUCAAUCCACCCACGAGAAGUGCCGUCUUUUAGUUCUCGCCGGUGGCAUGAUCGGAUUAUCAUGACCAUCUUGCCUCAUUUUACCCAUGGAUUGUUUGGCAUAGGGAUCUUUCAAUCUGGCCAAGAUUCUGUAAUGUUGAAAAUUUUGUAAUAGCUCAUGUUUAUAGCUGGGAAUUUUUCCCUUCCUAAAGCUCCUGUAUUUUGCUGAAUGCUGGUAUAUCAAACUCACUGCGGUUCUACAAAGUUUUCUGACAAAGUAUUGGGGAUAU